rnacentral:rRNA from 1 species
CACGGGCUUGCUUAGUACGGCGAGUGAAGCGGCAAAAGCUCAAAUUUGAAAUCUGGUACCUUCGGUGCCCGAGUUGUAAUUUGGAGAGGGCAACUUUGGGGCCGUUCCUUGUCUAUGUUCCUUGGAACAGGACGUCAUAGAGGGUGAGAAUCCCGUGUGGCGAGGAGUGCGGUUCUUUGUAAAGUGCCUUCGAAGAGUCGAGUUGUUUGGGAAUGCAGCUCUAAGUGGGUGGUAAAUUCCAUCUAAAGCUAAAUAUUGGCGAGAGACCGAUAGCGAACAAGUACAGUGAUGGAAAGAUGAAAAGAACUUUGAAAAGAGAGUGAAAAAGUACGUGAAAUUGUUGAAAGGGAAGGGCAUUUGAUCAGACAUGGUGUUUUGUGCCCUCUGCUCCUUGUGGGUAGGGGAAUCUCGCAUUUCACUGGGCCAGCAUCAGUUUUGGUGGCAGGAUAAAUCCAUAGGAAUGUAGCUUGCCUCGGUAAGUAUUAUAGCCUGUGGGAAUACUGCCAGCUGGGACUGAGGACUGCGACGUAAGUCAAGGAUGCUGGCAUAAUGGUUAUAUGCCGCCCGUCUUGAACCCACCGGAACACA